AAUCUAAAAAAAAAAGUCUCUGUAACAGGCUUCUGUUUGAGGUGGCUAUCAGUAAUGCCUUGUUUCAUAGUUGAGGAAGUGAGGCCCGAUUCUAUUAACAUGCCCGGAGCCACAUGAUUUCCUUCUGGGGCUGGUGGAGUUCAAGGUGCCCCUGGGGCACAUAAGUGAAGAUGUCUAGGAGGCAGUUGGGUAAACACCUGUGGAGCCAGGAGAGCUGACUGAGAGCAAGCGGAGACCUGGGAGUCAUUAGCGCACAGCCAGGGGUGGGAGGAUCUAAAAUAGGGAAAGCAGAUGGGGAACAGAGGUAUGGAAGGGGGAAGAAGCUGGGAGAAGCUGCUGAGAAAGAAGAGACCAGGAGACCAGGUCAGCCCUGCCUCGUGCUGAAGAUAGCAGGUGGCAAGACACGGACUGGAAAGUACCUGACAGCAUCUAGGAUCCCAGGAGGGAACGCUGGCAGGAGUGGGUGCGGACAGAAGCCAAACUGAGGUGCAUCCAAGAGGGGAAGGCAAAAGGAGCUAUUUCACGGACACUUGGCUGUGAAGGCAGGUUGUAACGGCAUCAAGAGAAAGCUGCAGGGUGAAGGAAGGGACAUGCAAGGGACAGCAGCCUCCCGCUCAUUUUGGAGACAGAGAGCCCUACGUGCCCUGGGUUGUCGGAAACGCUCUCCCAUUUCUGCCCCAAAUCCACUGCAACUUGGUGAGACUUACCUUCCAGCCUUUGAGAUGAACUUUCUUACCCAGGCCACCCGCACGUCUGCUCCCUCAGCUCCUGGAGUCUCUCAGCUUGAGAUCCUGUGAGAUGACCGACCCAGGGCCCAUGGACCAAACCCAGGCAGAGCACUGGGACAGGGAGCAAGACUCAGUUCUACCGAGAAGGACUCUUAGGGUAUAGGUCUACAGACUGAAGGAAAAAGACCAAGGAGAACAUUUCUUCCUUUCUUUUUUUGGGUUAAGUCUAAUUUUAGG